UGGCGGACGGGUGAGUAACGCGUGGGCAACCUGGCCUGUACAGGGGGAUAACACUUAGAAAUAGGUGCUAAUACCGCAUAACGGGGGAAGCCGCAUGGCUUUUCCCUGAAAACUCCGGUGGUACAGGAUGGGCCCGCGUCUGAUUAGCCAGUUGGCAGGGUAACGGCCUACCAAAGCGACGAUCAGUAGCCGGCCUGAGAGGGCGGACGGCCACACUGGGACUGAGACACGGCCCAGACUCCUACGGGAGGCAGCAG
rnacentral:rRNA from 1 species